rnacentral:lncRNA from 1 species
UCAGCUUCCUGAGUAGCUGGGAUUGCACGUGCACACCACUGAGCCUGGUUAGUAUAAUGUAUUAAUAUUCAGAUAACUAUAUUUUACUAUAAGUGGUUUUAGUUAUUACUGAAUAUCUUGUCUUUGAUGUAUUUAAUAUUAUUAUUUUGUGGGGUCCACAGUCCUCACCAGAAUGUCAAAGAGGUCCCUGGUUAAAACAAACACAAAAGCAAAAAUGACAAAGAAACCCGAUAUUAAUCAUUAGCCAACAGAUUUCUGGGUGUUUCUCCUAAGGGCCUCCCACUGCAAGCUCUUUCUCUGCUGUUUUUCAUUACUCUUUCCUAACUCAAUUUAUUAUUUCUCCCUUAGUUCAUGUCUUUCAUUUAAGGUUUUCCCAUGAUCCUGAUCUCCCCCCUGCCCUGCCCCUCCACACAGAGUGGGCAGUUCUGUAGGGUAGAGACAAGUGACUAGGCCAUCACGGUGCAGUCUGCUGUGUGCUACGGACACUUAGGGGACACUUGGAGAAAUGCCUAAUCCAGUCUUGAGAGAUGGGACAGACUUGUCAUCAGAGGUGACCCCAGGCUGUCCUGGAGGGCCAUGUAGACUUAACUAGGCUUGGUGGUAGGAAGGGGGGUGUGGCUACCAAGGACUGGUCAGAGCGCAACGGUGGCCAGACUGUGGAAUGCUCUUCAAACCAAAUUAGGAGUAGCCACCAAAGGGUUUUGAGAGCUGUGUUUUACAAAGAUUGCCCUGGCUCAGAGUAAAGAUGGGUUGGAGGGAGGAGGUCUAGAGAUGAGGGACGAGAGGCUGACAGACUGCCCUUUGCUCAUUCAUUAAAAAAAAAAAAGUGUAUAUAUAUAUAUAUAUAUAUAUAUAUAUAUAUAUAUAUAUAUCUGUGUGUGUGUGUGUGUGUGUAUAAUUUUUUUUGGUAUUGGAGAUUGAACUCAGGGGCACUUAACCACUGGGCCACAUGCUGGGCACUCUGUGUGUGUGCCUGUGUGUGUGUGUGUUUGUGUGUGUGUGUUUUGAUUUUAUUUCGAGACAGGGUCUCACUGAGAUGCCUAUGGCCUCAGUAAGUUGCUGAGGCUGGCUUUGAACUCAUGAUCCUCCUGCCUCAGCCUCUUGAGCUGCUAGGAUUAUAGGAGUGGGCCACCGUGCUGGGCUCCUUAGCUCAUUCUUGAGUGUAUCACACGUGUCCAUCCUGUGCUCAUGCUUUCCUGCUGCCUAAGAUGCCCUUCCAGCACAUCCAAUGCUCCUGGACAGCUGGGGUCCAUCUCCUGGGCUUCAUCCUCUCUCCUGAGUUGCCUGACUUCACCACUGUGUUCCUGGAGGAAAUUUAGAGUUUUUUUCCCUUAAUGACUCUGGUUCUUAUCUCAUCCUUGAGUUUCGUGAGGGCAGAGACUGGGCUUUACUCAUAUUUAUAUCCCUGACACCUAACAUGUUGCUGGGUCCCUAGUAAAUCCCUUGAAAGGAGCCAGGCUAAGGGAUGGAAAGUGCAAGAAGGCUCUAGAAUUUGUCCAAAAAUAUGUAGCAAAGACAAUCUGAGAAACCCCUUAGAGCUGUCCACAGAGCCAUUCGAUCUCAGGAUAAGAAGGUCAUCAGUGGCCUUUUUAUUUCUUUUUUAAACAUAAUUCCCCCUCCUUUCUCUUUCUCAUUCCUUCCUUCUUCUUUUCUUUCUUUCUUUCUUGGGGAAACCUUUGAUUUUCGUGGAGAAGACGAAUUUCCCUCCAGGAUGAAACAGAAGAGACUAAGAAAAGGGGCUGAAUCUCAGCCAAGGUAAGCUACAGAUGAGAGGCAGAGCCCCAGGAAACCUGGCCCCUGGUGGCUUGCCCUUGCCCAGGGCUGGCUUUCCUUGGGGUGGGCGGCGGGGGGAGGGGGGGCAAUGGCAGCUCCCUCCCAGCCUCCACCCCCAAGCUGGUCAACACCCUUGAGGGCCUCCAUCAUUGUUGGAGGAGGGGUGGAUGUGGUGGGCCCUCAUCUGGGUCUCAGGUUCUAGGUGACACAGAAGGACAAUGAGGCACGGACUGUAUACUAUAGCUGUUUCCCAGGGAUCUCCAGGCUCAAAAUGGAGGAAAAAAAAAAAGUGAAAGGUUUAGGCUCCUUAUGCAGGUGGUAGCCAGAGAGCAGAGAACCCUGGGAUAGAAAAGAAUGUCAUUAUACAGGUGGCAUGAUAGACUUGCUGUGACCUCAGGUGAGGGGAGAGGGGCUACUAGAGGGCUGGAAGGGAUGACUGUACAUACAAGGGACUCUUACUGUCUACCACGGAGACGGCGGGUCACUUACCAGAAUCAGCCCUCUUUGCCUUCCUUCAGGACCAGGAAUAAGUGGUGGUGGUGUGAGAGCGUCAGCCACCGAGGAGGCGAAUGGAACAAUCCUUCUUCUCAGGGUCCCCAAAGGAAAACUGAGAUAACUCCCAAUGGCAAACUAGGCAAGCCCAGUUCGUGUGGAACCAGCCCUCCGGUGAAGACUCCUUGUCUUCUUGCCUUAGCGACACUUUGCUGGGAAGGCUCAGGACUCACUGGUUGGGCACCUCAUAAAGCAAGUUGUUGAACUCUCUGGGUUAGAAAAACUGAGGGGCAUGAUGUUCAACGACGUAUGAAAAAGAAGGGGGUCCCAGUGGCUCAGGAGGCUGAGGCAGGAGGAUUGCAAGUUCAGAGCCAGCCCCAGCAAUUUAGCAAGGCCCUAAGCAACUUAGUGAGACCCUGUCUCUAAAUAAAAAUAAAAAGGCUGAAUAUGUAGCUCAGUGGUUAUGCACCUUGGGUCUAAUCCUUAUGUGGGUGUGCACACAUAAAAAGGGGGGUAAAAUUUAAGAAAACUUUGGGCUGAGAUUUUGGCUCUGUGGUAGAGCACUUGCCUAGCAUGUGUGAAGCACUGGGUUCGAUUCUCAGCACCUCAUAGAAAUAAAUAAAAUAAAGGUCCAUUGACAACUAAAACAUAUUAAAAAAAGAAAGAAAGAAAAGAAAACCUUGGCUUAGCUGGGUACAGUGGCGCACACCUGCAAUCUUAGCAACUUGGGAGGUUGAGGCAGGAGGAUUGCAAAUCUGAGGCCAGCCUCAGCAACUUAGCAAGACCCUGUCUCAAAAUAAAAAAUAAGAAGGGCUGGGGACAUUACUAGUGACACAGUGCCUGCCAAGCGAGUCAUCCUUUUUUGGAAUUAGACUGGAUACCGUUGCCCUCCUUUCCUGGACUUCAUGGAUUUUCAGAAGAUCCUUGCUUUUUAUCAGUAUAGCUCUUAAGAACCUGGCUUCGCAAAGCUCUGGCAUCUUCGGAAGGAGUGGGGCACAGUCUACCGUCAGUGUGUGAGUUAGCGGCGUCGGGGGGGGGGGGGGGGGGGGGGGGGGGGGGGGGGGGGGGGGGGGGGGGGGGGGGGGGGGCCUGGGAGAAAAUGAAACAGAAAGUAAGUGCUGCCCAAAGGGCUCCACCCCAGCCAAACCCACAUUUGCCACUUUCAUAAGACAAAGGCCCUUGAGGGCAGUGAGCCGUAGAACCAUCCAAUAAUCAGGUCCUGCGGAAGUGGACCGGAGGUUUAAAGCUCUGUUUCUGACGCUUGUCACAUGAGCCUAAUUUGAUUUAAAUUAAUUUUAGUGAAGCAAAUCUAAAAUUUUAGUUCCUUGGUCUCCUUAGCCACAUUGCAAGUGCUCUACAACCUGGCACAGAGGUCAACGGCCCCACUACCACAGACUUCCAUGGGAUGGUGCCGCUCUGCUCUGAAGCAAGGGUCAGCAAGCUACACCCCACCAGCCAAAACCAGCUGUUGCCUCUUCUUAUACAGCCUGCGACCAAAGGAUGAUUUUUAGUGUUUGUAUGUGGUUGCAAAAAUUUUGUGGUGAAUGGUUUUCUUUCUUUGUUCUCGAAGUAACUACAAAUAUCCUUGUUUCUGCUUCAUGGUUCAUACCAUCUGAAAUAUUCUCCAGAUCUUUCUAGAAAAUGUUUGCCAACCCCUGGUCUCAAGCAGCUUCAAACUACAUUUGAGGAAACUGAGGCCUAGAGACCGAUGUGACACACACAGCUCAGAAAGGGACAGUUGUCAACUUGGGCCUUUGUUUUACCUGCUCUUUUACUCUGUCCUGACCUCUUUUCUUCUAAGGGUCUCUGUUUUAGUUCAUCCAGCAAAUAACACGAUGGCUUCCUUUUAUGGCAUUGUGAACGAGAGAGGGAGUGAUUGAUUUUUUGAAAAGACAUUGAUUGACGUUCACUUGGAGUCUCUGCAGGGAGAUCCUGCAGGAGGAUCACAGGGUCAGAGCCCAGUGUUUCCAAAGGGCAUCCAGUGUAGACUCCGGGUUCUCCUCUCAUGCAGCUGCAGAUACAGAAGCAACCAGAUGGCGUUAAAAGAUGAUCGACAUCAUUUAGUUUAAAACUCCCGCACUGCCAUCAAACCGCGCUGCCUGUGAUGAUCUAUGCAUUAAUAUUUUUUUAAAAUCCUUUAAAUCUUAUGAUUAGUGUCCUUGAUGUUUCAGUAGAUUCAUGUGGUGAGUUAAAAGCCUUAAUUUGUCAAAUAUAAACACUUUAAAUACACUGCAGUUUUAAUAACCCUGUUGGGCAUUUCCUCAUUUUAACUUUAAUUUAAAAAAAAAAACGCAGCAACAUCUCGAAAUUUGAAAGUGGCUCGAGUGACCUUGACUGUCUUAAGCGAUGGCACAUUUAAGCAGAUCCUCUGCAGAUGGUUGGGUUGCAGGAAGGAGCGGUACCACCUACAGCCCAUCCUUGUGAUUUGCAAGUUGCGUAUUUACAAAUUUGCCCUACUUUCAGAUUUCUACUUGUAACCCCAGGAUGUGGUCAUGUGGAAGAUCAAGUUGGUCAUGAAGAUCCUUUUGGCUGUGUUACAAGCGUGUGGGUUUGGAUUGGUGGGGGUGGGGGUGGGGCCGCCAUUACUCUCUACCUGGAAAUUACAGUGUGUACCAGGAAGGAAAGAAUUCGUUAAAUCCAGGGUAGAUGGAUAUGAAGGUGAAAAGAGAGCUGCUUGGCUCCUGGGAAGCUGGGCUCAUGAGCAAAUAUCUAAAGGGAAGGAGAUGUAAGGCAAUUUAUCCAUUGAUUGUUCAGGUUUCUUGCUGGGGACCAACAGGGUUUAGACCCAGCAACUGGGCGUAUGCUCAGGUUCUGAGGAUGCGUUCCUUAGGAGGUCUCUUUUUAAAAUUUCUCUUCUUCUUUAAAAGGGGGGAAGUUCCUCGAGGUUAUCGAGAGCACAGGAGCUUCCUUCUGAGCUCCGGAACAUUUGUGAGAAAUGGAACUUGCACGUGUCUAUUUGGAAGCCUUCCUGGAGCCUGCUGUAUCCUAACUCGUCAGUGUCAGCGCUGCCUUCUAACUCUGUGCUGCUUUCUGUGGCAUCUUCUGAAUUAGCAUCAGGUUUUUGUCAAACAUGGAA